UACGAACUGUGCGAACGUUAUUCGGAAUCACUGGGCUUACAGGGUGCGUAGGUGGCUAGAAAAGUCAGGUGUGAAAUCCCUCAGCUCAACUGAGGAACUGCGCUUGAAACUGUCUGGCUAGAGUGAGCUAGGGGUGCUUGGAACUGCCAGUGGAGCGGUGAAAUGUGUUGAUAUUGGCAGGAACACCGGAGCCGAAAGGGAAGCACUGGGGCUUAACUGACACUGAGGCACGAAAGCCAGGGGAGCAAACGGG
rnacentral:rRNA from 1 species